UACGUAGGGUGCGAGCGUUGUCCGGAAUUAUUGGGCGUAAAGGGCUCGUAGGCGGUCUGUUGCGUCAGGAGUGAAAACUCGGGGCUUAACCCCGAGCCUGCUUCUGAUACGGGCAGACUAGAGGUAUGCAGGGGAGAACGGAAUUCAUGGUGUAGCAGUGAAAUGCGUAGAGAUCAUGAGGAAGACCAGUGGCGAAGGCGGGUCUCUGGACAGUUCCUGACACUGAGACACGAAGGCCAGGGGAGCAAACGGG
rnacentral:rRNA from 1 species